AAAUUUGAAAACCCAUUUUCCCUCAUUUUUACCCCCACUUUUCUAUUUCUUCCUCCUCCAACCCUAUCAUCCUCUUUUCUCUCAUACCCAUUUUUCCCUCACUCUUUCUCCCUCUUUCUCGUCUCUUUCUCUCUCUUUUUUUUCCUCUUUCCUUCUCUCUAUUCAUAUUCACAGACACCCAAAACCCAAAACCGCCGUCUCCAUAUCCACGACCAUCACCACCUCCAUGUUUUCACUCUCUUUCGUCUGGUUUUUCAGCAACUCAGCUUCAACCCAUUGAACCCAUCUUCACUCAGAUUCAUAUAAUUGAUUCAACUGCAGGGGAACAAGUUUAAGGAAGCUGAAGAAGUAUUUGACAAGCUACAAGAUCGUAGCGAAACAGUUGGAGGAGGGUCUGCAGAUCAAGUAUGUAGACAUCCCAUGACUAACUAUUGAUAACAAGAGUAUAAUUGGACGACUAGCUGAAGGAAAUUAGGAAAUCAUCUGGGAUCAUGGGACCUUGGCAUGUAGAUACUGUGGACAUGGAUGAAAGCUUUGCUUCUUCUCUGUUGGUAGUGUUCAAGAGCAAUAAAGCCAAGUGUUUUGAGCUCUCUGAAAUUACUGGAUAUGUUGUCGAAUUCAUGUAUAUUUUUUUGUUUGUUGGUUUUUGAUGUAUUUUUAUUCUACCAUUGAAAUUAAAUUGAAUUAGGUUGCUAUCGUUGACACUGCAAAUGAAUAUGGGAGCCGAUUUAUUCAACAGAAGCUUGAAAAAACAACUACAUAAGAUAAACAUGGUUUUGAUGAAUGAUGUCUUUGGUAAUUAUGUGGUUCAAAAGGUAAAGAUUAUUACUGAAUUAAUUAUUCUAUUUCCUGGAUCUGGUUUGAGCAAAGUUGAUUUACAUGGUGCAGUUUUUUGAUAAAGCAUGUAUAUUUUGGUUUGCUCUUGAUGACUUUAAUGCGGGGCCUACAUCUUUGCCACGAUUCUAAAUGAGAUUCACUGAUUUUAAAGCGGUGGCAAGUCCUAUACGUUUAUAGAAGAUGCCUUCUUUGCCAAUUAUGCUGAAGUACACCUUAAGCUCUCCGAGCUUGGGUAAGUCAUAUCUAAUCAUUAAAUUUCACUGCUCUGUGUGUUUUAUAAAUUAGUAAUCUUCUGUUUUUGCACUUGGAACCUCUUAUAUGACUUGCACAUUCAACAAUAUCUUAUUAUUAUGUAAGUUUCUUGGUAGAGGAUACUUGGAGGCUAUGAUGUUGUUUUCAACUUUUAGAUCAGACAACAGGUUGAAGAACCUGGCUACUGGCAUGGUGUUACAGUAUCUAUUUGAAAAUACCAUCAUGGUUCAUUCUAUAGAUACUGAUAAUGCACCCGUGGUGAGGCUCUUUUCUUCCACUUUUUGUUUAAGAUAAGGUGAAUCUGAGCCUUCCUCUAUAACCCUACAAUCAUGGUUUACACACAUUAGUUGUUAGUUUAAUUACGAGGCUCCACACUCUGAGUUGCUGUGCAAGUCGAUGAUCCUUCUCAAUGAAAUUUGCUAGCAGCUCUGCACAUAUACAUACAUACACACAUAUACUCUCUUUUCUAUUCUAAUUGUCAUCUCUUAGAUAACAAUGCAGUGAUGAUGUCGAUGAUCCUUCUCAGUGAAAUUUGCUAACAGCUCUGCACAUUUACAUACAUACACACAUAUACUCUCUUUUCUAUUCCAAUUCUUAUCUCUUGGAUAACAAAGCAGUGAUGAUGAUUUCAGCAAUUGAAUCAGACAUUGUGUGAAGAGCUGUUUCCUGGCCAUGUGACUCUUUGUCUGUGUGAAAUUACCCUUGUGGUCCUUUGCACAGAUUCUGUUGAUGCAGCCUUUGUGUUACUUUGACAGGAAUUAACUCAUUUAUAUUUUAUAAUUCCAUUUUCAAUAAAAUGCAAAUUAUUCAGAAAGUGAAUUGCUCAUCACAAAUUACAUUGUUUAAAGUUAAAGCUUAUGUAUUGAAAACUUAACUUAUAUGAGUAUGUUAAAGUGGUUAAGUGUGAACGAUUUUGAAUUAUUUCAAUUUCGGUUUUGUGUAUCUAUUUGAGCUUCAAGGUUAUGUUUGGGGUUCAUGAAGGUUUGUUUCUAUUUCAAAUCGAGUUUUGUUCCAGUUCGGAAUUUGAUUUACGUUGUGUUCAGAAUUGAUUGCGUUUUGGAAUUCUUGCAUUUUUUCGGUUUCGACUCAAUUAUGGGUUAUACUACAGUUUGAUUGUGAUUAGAUUUAUAGCCAUUUGUCUAUUUGAUUCUGCAAUUUUAUGCAUUUUUUCUAAGUUUAUGCACACUUUUAUAUCUAUUGUAUGAAUGCAUGGUUUUAUGUAACCAUAACAAUAAUGCAUUAAACUUUUUGGAUCAGCUCUGCUUAGUAAACAUUAGUCAUUCAACGUGAGAUUUUACUUCAGGAUCCCUUCACUUUUUCUGUUUCAUAAACUCAUAGAAGAAAAUUGUGAAAAGCAUGACUCACUGUAGUUUUACCACUGACAUAGUUAGAUGACUUAUGCUGCAUAAAAUCACUUGGACAUCACUGAUAAAGUUUUACCAAAUUCAUAAGAUCACCAUAUAUUCAAUUUCCUUUUUGGAGUUGAUUGACAUAAAAUCUUUUUUCUUAUGUGAAAAGCAUAAAAUCAACACUAAAUAUGAGAGAAAUUCAAUUGGCUUUUUCAAAU